AUGUCGCUGGAGUCCGACGGCGCCGCCACCGCGAAGAGGCCGCGGCCGUCGGCAGAAGAUCCGUCCAGCCACUGCGAGGCGGCGGAGGCAGCCGACCGCAUCUCGGCGCUACCGGAGGCGAUGCAGCUGCACAUCCUGUCCUUGCUCCCGCUGCCGUCGGCAAUCCGCACGGGGGCGCUCUCCCGCGCCUGGCGCGACCUCUGGAAGCGCCGCUGGCAGGACGACGGCAACGCCGCCGCCUUCCUCCGCCACCACCUCCGUCCCUGCUCCUCCCCGUCGUCCAAGAAACUGCUCGAGUGCCUCGAGCUGCGCCAGUCCCAGGGGCGGCGCGGGCGCCUCGACCGGUGCUCGCUCGUCGCCGACAACCCCGCCAUGGGCGCCCGCCAGUUCGGCCGCUACCUCGACGCCGCCGCCCGCUGCGGCGUCGAGGACCUCCGCGUCGAGCUGCCGGAGAAGCCGCCCUCCCCGGACACCCCAACAAAGGCCACCACCCUCCGCUUCCCCUUUCCGGCGGCGGCCGGCCCGGCCCUCGCGCGCCUCUCGCUCCGCGGCAUUGGGGUCUCCGGCCUCCACAGCAGGGCCGCGCGGCCGUGCUCCGCCCUCGAGGUCGUCCGCCUCCACUCCGUCCCCGUCGACGACAGGGGUUUGGCGAGGAUGCUCGCCCUGUGCCCUCGUAUCCGCGUCCUCGGCCUGCACUCCUGCUCGGCCCUCCGUCGAAUCGCCGUGACGGCGGCGACGGGGCGCAAACUGAGCAGCGUCACCAUCGCAGGGUGCAGCUGGCUCAUUGAGGUGGACGUCGCGGCGGUUUCUAGCCUCCGGUCGUUUCGCUACACCGGCGGUUUCCUCUCGUCGUUCUAUCUCCCCGACAACGCCGCAUUUGCCGACCUCUACAUCUGCUUCGACGCCCAGAGAAGCUGCAAUGUCCGCAUCUGCCAAAAGGUGUUCAGCGACUGGUUCGAAAGCCGUGUAUGCUCCAAACUCACCGCUCUCACCAUCUGCAGCAAUGUCCUCUUUGUUGUGUCUUCCUUGCCCAAUGGAAUCUCACAUGCCGAAUCGGCCAAGGUGGGCGGUCACUUCUUUCAGAGCAUGACAGAACUACAACUUCUUAUGUUAGAUAUGAAGGCCCCUGAGCUUGCGAACAUCUAUGUGUUCCUAAAGAACAGCCAAUGUUCUAAUCUGGAGAGGCUUUUCGUGCAGCUCCCUAGCAUCCCCAGUGGGCCCUUGGUAGAUUCAUCUAACUAUGUGGGGGUAGAGCCGCCCGAGGAUGUUUUGGAAAACCUUAAGGUGGUAAAGAUUACAAACUUUAACUGGAACCGCAUUGAGGUGCAGCUUGUGUCUUUUUUGUUGAGGAAGGCUAGCUCUCUCCAUAAACUGGUACUGGUUACUCCCAGUUUGGUUCCAUUGGAUGUGAUCGGUAUUCAGAAGGAAGAUCUCUUGUUGGUUGGCGAAGCUGUGGCGAAUGGAAAAAUAAUUCUCAGCAAGUUGGACGAUGCUGCAACCAAGCCAUUUCAUUCAGAUGUCUUUGCCGAAGUUUAG
rnacentral:rRNA from 1 species